GGAGGAGUGGCCGAGUGGUUUAAGGCAGCGGUCUUGAAAACCGCCGAGUGAAUAGCUCCGGGGGUUCGAAUCCCUCCUCCUCCG
rnacentral:tRNA from 1 species